rnacentral:tRNA from 1 species
AUUUAUAUAGUUUAAAUAAAACAUUACAUUUUCACUGUAAAAAUAAUAUAUAAAUUUAUAUUUAUAAAUA